GGGGAAUAUUGGACAAUGGGGGGAACCCUGAUCCAGCCAUGCCGCGUGUGUGAAGAAGGUCUUCGGAUUGUAAAGCACUUUAAGUUGUGAGGAAGGGCUCCGGGUUAAUACCCUGUGAGUUUUGACGUUAGCAACAGAAUAAGCACCGGCUAACUUCGUGCCAGCAGCCGCGGUAAUACGAAGGGUGCGAGCGUUAAUCGGAAUUACUGGGCGUAAAGCGCGCGUAGGUGGUUUGGUCAGUUGGAAGUGAAAGCCCCGGGCUCAACCUGGGAAUUGCUUUCAAAACCGCCGAGCUAGAGUACGGUAGAGGGUAGUGGAAUUUCCUGUGUAGCGGUGAAAUGCGUAGAUAUAGGAAGGAACAUCAGUGGCGAAGGCGACUACCUGGACUGAUACUGACACUGAGGUGCGAAAGCGUGGGGAGCAAACAG
rnacentral:rRNA from 1 species